rnacentral:rRNA from 1 species
CCUACGGGAGGCAGCAGUAGGGAAUUUUCCACAAUGGGCGCAAGCCUGAAGGAGCGAUGCCGCGUGGGUGAAGAAGGCCUUCGGGUCGUAAAACUCUGUUGUGAGAGAAGAAAGUCCGCAUCAGGAACUGUUUACUGCCUGAUGGUGCCCCACCAGAAAGUCACGGCUAACUACGUGCCAGCAGCCGCGGUAAUACGUAGGUGGCAAGCGUUAUCCGGAAUGAUUGGGCGUAAAGGGUACGCAGGCGGUCCUGCAAGUCUGAAGUGAAACGCAUGAGCUCAACUGAUGUAGUGCUUUGGAAACGGGAGGACUGGAGAGCAGGAGAGGGGGGUGGAACUCCAUGUGUAGCGGUAAAAUGCGUAGAUAUAUGGAAGAACACCAGUGGCGAAGGCGGCAGCCUGGUCUGUUGCUGACGCUGAGGUUCGAAAGCGUGGGGAGCAAACAGGAUUAGAUACCCUUGUAGUC